rnacentral:rRNA from 1 species
GGGGUGCACCAGGCGCGAAACCUCUGCAAUAGGCGAAAGCUUGACAGGGUUACUCUGAGUGAUGUCCGUUAAGGGCAUCUUUUGGCACCUCUAAAAAUGGUGCAGAAUAAGGGGUGGGCAAGUCUGGUGUCAGCCGUUGUGGUAAUACCAGCACCCCGAGUGGUCGGGACGAUUAUUGGGCCUAAAGCAUCCGUAGCUUGUCCUGCAAGUCUUCCGUUAAAUCCACCUGUUUAACAGAUGGGCUGCGGGGGAUACUACAGGGCUAGGAGGCGGGAGAGGCAAACGGUACUCAGUGGGUAGGGGUAAAAUCCACUGAUCCACUGAAGACCACUAGUGGCGAAGGCGGUUUGCCAGAACGCGCUCGACGGUGAGGGAUGAAAGCUGGGGGAGCAAACCGGAUUAGAUACCCGGGUAGUCCCAGCUGUAAACGAUGCAGACUCGGUGAUGGGUUGGCUUUGAGCCAACCCAGUGCCGUAGGGAAGCCGUUAAGUCUGCCGCCUGGGGAGUACGGUCGUAAGACUGAAACUUAAAGGAAUUGGCGGGGGAGCAC